rnacentral:rRNA from 1 species
UACGUAGGGGGCAAGCGUUGUCCGGAAUCAUUGGGCGUAAAGCGCGUGUAGGCGGUUCAGUAAGUCUGCUGUGAAAGUCCAGGGCUCAACCCUGGGAUGCCGGUGGAUACUGCUGGACUAGAGUGCGGAAGAGGCGAGUGGAAUUCCCGGUGUAGUGGUGAUAUGCGUAGAUAUCGGGAGGAACACCAGUGGCGAAGGCGGCUUUCUGGGCCUUACCUGACGCUGAGACGCGAAAGCGUGGGGAGCGAACCGG